rnacentral:tRNA from 1 species
ACUUGAAUAGCUUAUAUAGAGCGCGACGCUGAAGAUGUCGAUGAGGUGAUAUGAACCUUUGAGUA